rnacentral:rRNA from 1 species
AUACGGAGGGUGCAAGCGUUACUCGGAAUCACUGGGCGUAAAGCGCGCGCAGGCGGUCUUUUAAGUUGGAUGUGAAAGCCUACGGCUCAACCGUAGAACUGCAUCCAAAACUAUUAGACUAGAGUGUGAGAGAGGAAGAUGGAAUUAGUUGUGUAGGGGUAAAAUCCGUAGAGAUAACUAGGAAUACCAAAAGCGAAGGCAAUCUUCUGGAACACUACUGACGCUGAGGCGCGAAAGCGUGGGGAGCAAACAGCAUUAGAAACCCGAGUAGUCC